rnacentral:rRNA from 1 species
UACGGAGGGUGCAAGCGUUAUCCGGAUUCACUGGGUUUAAAGGGUGCGUAGGUGGGCAGGUAAGUCAGUGGUGAAAUCUCCGGGCUUAACUCGGAAAGGUCAACUGAUACUGCGGGGCUAGAGUGCGGAAGGGGCAACUGGAAUUCUCGGUGUAGCGGUGAAAUGCGUAGAUAUCGAGAGGAACACCUGCGGCGAAGGCGGGUUGCUGGGCCGACACUGACGCUGAUGCGCGAAAGCCAGGGGAGCGAACGGG